rnacentral:tRNA from 1 species
GGAGGUGUCCGCGCCCUGGUGGACGCCGCGGUCUUCAAAACCGACGAGGCCGGGGAUCCCGGCCUGGCGGGUUCGAUUCCCGUCCACCUCCGCCA